rnacentral:tRNA from 1 species
GCCUGGGUGGCUCAGUUGGUUAAGUGUCUGACUUCGGCUCAGGUCACAAUCUCACAGUUUGUGAGUUCAAGCCCCACAUCAGGCU